rnacentral:rRNA from 1 species
UGGGGAAUAUUGCACAAUGGGGGAAACCCUGAUGCAGCGACGCCGCGUGAACGAAGAAGGUAUUCGUAUCGUAAAGUUCUGUCCUAUGGGAAGAUAAUGACAGUACCAUAGAAGAAAGCUCCGGCUAAAUACGUGCCAGCAGCCGCGGUAAUACGUAUGGAGCGAGCGUUGUCCGGAAUUAUUGGGCGUAAAGGGUACGCAGGCGGUUUAAUAAGUCGAAUGUUAAAGAUCGGGGCUCAACCCCGCAAGGCAUUGGAAACUGAAAAACUUGAGUAUUGGGAAGAAAAGGGGAAUUCCUAGUGAGGGGGGAAAUUACUUGGAUAUUAGGAGGAAUCCCAGUAGCGAGGGGGACUUUCGGAACACAAACUGACGCGGAGGUACGAAAGCGUGGGAGCAAACAGG